CGCCAGCUGGCCGAGCGCGGCUGUGCCGCUGCGCUGCUGGCGCAGAUGGAGGACGGGCUCGAUGCGAUCGACGAUCUUCUCGUCGGGCGGGUGU
rnacentral:tRNA from 1 species